CCAGGUGAGUACCCUUACCAGCUGGACCACAAAUUAUGAGUAAACGCUCUGAUCGCUACCUGCUGCUUCAAGAAGCAUUCCAGACUUCAUCAGGUAAAGCUUCACACUGAAUCCAGUAAGCUAUAGAUUCCAGACUGGUGUGUCUUGCUGCAGUGGUAUUCCCUCGGGCUGUUCUAGUGGAUAGCUUCAAGUGCAAAACCAUACAAAUGAAGUCUCAUUCACGACUGGCGCUCUUGUGCAGCAUGGUAGCAGAAAUCAUAAGCUUCUCCUGUAUGUUAUAUUUUCCAUUCCAAGAAGAGAGAGAUGGCAGCAACAGAAAGCAGACUUGUUAACACUGUUUAGGCUGGGCCAUGUAGCAGUCUCAAAGGCUACUGCCAUAUGCUGAUGGAAGUGGUUUUGCCACUGCGUCAGAACUGAUACUCAUUCAAGUUUUUACGCUGCGAAAUAUACCUUGUCUCCUCGUUUGAAGUCCAUCUCUUGAAAAGAAUGGGUGGCUCAAGAGGAGGAAGAAGGGAGAAGGAGC